CAAAGAGUAGUUUAGUCAAAGAAUACUAGUUUUGGGUACUAGAGGCAGGAGUUGAAAUCUCUUCUCUUUGA
rnacentral:tRNA from 1 species